rnacentral:rRNA from 1 species
UGCGUAGGCGGCUUCUUAAGUCGGAUGUGAAAUCCCUGAGCUUAACUUAGGAAUUGCAUUCGAUACUGGGAAGCUAGAGUAUGGGAGAGGAUGGUAGAAUUCCAGGUGUAGCGGUGAAAUGCGUAGAGAUCUGGAGGAAUGCCGAUGGCGAAGGCAGCCAACUGGCCUGAUACUGACGCUGAGGUACGAAAGCAUGGGGAGCAAACAGGAUUAGAUACCCCGGUA